rnacentral:rRNA from 1 species
AGAGUUUGAUCAUGGCUCAGAACGUACGCUGGCGGCACGCCUAAUACAUGCAAGUCGAACGGGGUAGCAAUACCUAGUGGCAGACGGGUGAGUAACAUGUGGGUACCUUCCCUUUGGUGAGGAAUAACACGAGGAAACUUGUGCUAAUACCUCAUAAGUCUUUACGGAGAAAGCUUUAUGCGCCAAUGGAUGGGCUCGCACUUGAUUAGUUAGUUGGUAAGGUAAUGGCUUACCAAGACUUUGAUCAAUAGCUGAUUUGAGAGGAUGAUCAGCCACAUUGGGACUGAGACACGGCCCAAACUCCUACGGGAGGCAGCAGUAGGGAAUCUUGCACAAUGGAGGAAACUCUGAUGCAGCGAUGCCGCGUGAGUGAAGAAGGCCUUUGGGUUGUAAAGCUCUUUCGUCGGGGAAGAAAAUGACUGUACCCGAAUAAGAAGGUCCGGCUAACUUCGUGCCAGCAGCCGCGGUAAUACGAAGGGACCUAGCGUAGUUCGGAAUUACUGGGCUUAAAGAGUUCGUAGGUGGUUAAAAAAGUUGGUGGUGAAAUCCCAGAGCUUAACUCUGGAACUGCCAUCAAAACUUUUUAGCUAGAGUAUGAUAGAGGAAAGCAGAAUUUCUAGUGUAGAGGUGAAAUUCGUAGAUAUUAGAAAGAAUACCGAUUGCGAAGGCAGCUUUCUGGAUCAUUACUGACACUGAGGAACGAAAGCAUGGGUAGCGAAGAGGAUUAGAUACCCUCGUAGUCCAUGCCGUAAACGAUGUGUGUUAGAUGUUGGAAAUUUAUUUUCAGUAUCGCAGCGAAAGCGUUAAACACACCGCCUGGGGAGUACGACCGCAAGGUUAAAACUCAAAUGAAUUGACGGGGACCCGCACAAGUAGUGGAGCAUGUGGUUUAAUUCGAAGAUACGCGCAGAACCUAC